UACGUAGGGGGCUAGCGUUGUCCGGAUUUAUUGGGCGUAAAGAGCGUGUAGGCGGCCAGACAGGUCAGCUGUGAAAACUCGAGGCUCAACCUCGAGACGUCGGUUGAAACCGUCUGGCUAGAGUCCGGAAGAGGAGAGUGGAAUUCCCGGUGUAGCGGUGAAAUGCGCAGAUAUCCGGAGGAACACCGGUGGCGAAGGCGGCUUCCUGGACCGACACUGACGCUGAGGCGCGAAAGCUAGGGGAGCAAACGGG
rnacentral:rRNA from 1 species